rnacentral:rRNA from 1 species
UACGUAGGGUGCAAGCGUUAAUCGGAAUUACUGGGCGUAAAGCGUGCGCAGGCGGUUUUGUAAGACAGAGGUGAAAUCCCCGGGCCUCAACCUGGGAACUGCCUUUGUGACUGCAGGGCUUGAGUGCGGCAGAGGGGGAUGGAAUUCCGCGUGUAGCAGUGAAAUGCGUAGAUAUGCGGAGGAACACCGAUGGCGAAGGCAAUCCCCUGGGCCUGCACUGACGCUCAUGCACAAAGCGUGGGGAGCAAACAGG